AGAACAGAGUCGCCUCUGUUACCCUAAUCAGCUUUAGACGAGAAACGAAAGUCGCAUCUCCCCAUCCUUCGACGGCGAGUCGAUGUCGUUUCUGCUUUCCUUCACCACAACGGUCCGAGUUAAGAGUUUAUGUGUAUAAAUAUGUGUGAGAUUUCUCCCUAACAACUCAUCUUCACUUCGUAUCUCUCAUAUUCUUCCUGAUAGAUUUUGAUAUGGCUAACUCCAGUGCUGGUGGAUGUUAACUUAUUUCAGUGAGUGUCAACAUCCAGAUAAGAAACAGAGGAUGCAACUUAGCAGAAAACUGGGUUUAGUUCCAAGACAGGUCAAGUUUUGGUUUCAGAACCGUAGAAUACAGAAGGCACAACAAGAAAGAGCUGAUAGUAGUGCACUCAAGGAAGAGAGUGAUAGGAUUCGUUGCGAAAACACUGCCAUUCGAGAAGCUUACGAACACACCAUUUGCCACAACUGUGGUGAUGCUCCUGUUCAUGACAACUCUUACUUUGAUGCACAGAAGCUUUGAAUCUAAAAUUCUUAGAGAAGAGCUCGAGAGGGUUUCAAGCAUUGCAGCUAAGAACAUGGGGAGGCCACUUUCUCAUCUCCCACCACUACUAAACCAGAUGCACCUCAAUUAGAGUUACUCCACAGUGGUCCUUCGCUUGAUUUUGAUCUUCUUCUAAGAAGUUGUUCUUCAAUGGCAGCCUCGAGUUAACCAUCUCAACCAAACUUGGUUAUCUCAGACAUGGAUAAGUCUCGGAUGACCAACAUUGCUUUGACCGCUAUGAAAGAUUUGCUUAACACAAACAAUAUAUAGAUAAGACGAGUGUUAACUUUUCUUCGUUCUAAUAUACGUAUAUAUAUAUUUGUCUAAUAAGAAAAAGAGUAAUGUAAGAUGUAAAAGUCAAUGAUUAAUUCUUUAUUGAA